rnacentral:rRNA from 1 species
ACGAACGCUGGCGGCGUGCCUAAUACAUGCAAGUAGAACGCUGAAGAGAGGAGCUUGCUCUUCUUGGAUGAGUUGCGAACGGGUGAGUAACGCGUAGGUAACCUGCCUUGUAGCGGGGGAUAACUAUUGGAAACGAUAGCUAAUACCGCAUAACAAUGGAUGACACAUGUCAUUUAUUUGAAAGGGGCAAUUGCUCCACUACAAGAUGGACCUGCGUUGUAUUAGCUAGUAGGUGAGGUAAUGGCUCACCUAGGCGACGAUACAUAGCCGACCUGAGAGGGUGAUCGGCCACACUGGGACUGAGACACGGCCCAGACUCCUACGGGAGGCAGCAGUAGGGAAUCUUCGGCAAUGGGGGCAACCCUGACCGAGCAACGCCGCGUGAGUGAAGAAGGUUUUCGGAUCGUAAAGCUCUGUUGUAAGUCAAGAACGGGUGUGAGAGUGGAAAGUUCACACUGUGACGGUAGCUUACCAGAAAGGGACGGCUAACUACGUGCCAGCAGCCGCGGUAAUACGUAGGUCCCGAGCGUUGUCCGGAUUUAAUGGGCGUAAAGCGAGCGCAGGCGGUUUGAUAAGUCUGAAGUUAAAGGCUGUGGCUCAACCAUAGUUCGCUUUGGAAACUGUCAAACUUGAGUGCAGAAGGGGAGAGUGGAAUUCCAUGUGUAGCGGUGAAAUGCGUAGAUAUAUGGAGGAACACCGGUGGCGAAAGCGGCUCUCUGGUCUGUAACUGACGCUGAGGCUCGAAAGCGUGGGGAGCGAACAGGAUUAGAUACCCUGGUAGUCCACGCCGUAAACGAUGAGUGCUAGGUGUUGGAUCCUUUCCGGGAUUCAGUGCCGCAGCUAACGCAUUAAGCACUCCGCCUGGGGAGUACGACCGCAAGGUUGAAACUCAAAGGAAUUGACGGGGGCCCGCACAAGCGGUGGAGCAUGUGGUUUAAUUCGAAGCAACGCGAAGAACCUUACCAGGUCUUGACAUCCCGAUGCUAUUUCUAGAGAUAGAAAGUUACUUCGGUACAUCGGUGACAGGUGGUGCAUGGUUGUCGUCAGCUCGUGUCGUGAGAUGUUGGGUUAAGUCCCGCAACGAGCGCAACCCCUAUUGUUAGUUGCCAUCAUUCAGUUGGGCACUCUAGCGAGACUGCCGGUAAUAAACCGGAGGAAGGUGGGGAUGACGUCAAAUCAUCAUGCCCCUUAUGACCUGGGCUACACACGUGCUACAAUGGUUGGUACAACGAGUUGCGAGUCGGUGACGGCGAGCUAAUCUCUUAAAGCCAAUCUCAGUUCGGAUUGUAGGCUGCAACUCGCCUACAUGAAGUCGGAAUCGCUAGUAAUCGCGGAUCAGCACGCCGCGGUGAAUACGUUCCCGGGCCUUGUACACACCGCCCGUCACACCACGAGAGUUUGUAACACCCGAAGUCGGUGAGGUAACCUUUUGGAGCCAGCCGCCUAAGGUGGGACAGAUGAUUGGGGUG